AGAAACCCACUUGAGGUUGAAAAAGCAACAGAGUCAGAAUAACUGUGGUCACCAAAGAAUGAAGUCAAGAAAAUACUCCGGGUUCACGGAGUGAUUCGGAGAGAAAGUAGAAAGAAUUCCAUAGUCACUUGGUAAGAAUAUCAAGAGAUCUUGGUGGGGCGGUCCGGCUCUCAUGACUAUUGUACCCACGCUGUGUGUGUGAGCCUCUAGGGAACUCACUUCUGGGCUCUGUACAUAGAAUGAGAUGCUGGGUUGGCUGGUGUCCAAGACCCCUUCCGUGACUGUUAAUCUGUGAAACAGGUUAUAGUUGCCUGUGGUGUGUUGGUUUGGGGCGGUGAUGAAUUUUUUGUUUAUAAGUGAUUUAACUAAAUUAAAAUUUGUACUGCAUUAGAA
rnacentral:lncRNA from 1 species